CUUUGUGCUGUGAUAAGCACUGUAAGCACAGGCUGUCCCGUCUCGUGCACGUUCAAUCGUUUCCACUUGUUUCCCUCCUAUGCUCAGGGACCUAUAAAUUUUAAGAUUAUUAUUUAGGUGAUCUACAUACAUCUCAUGAAGCAGUGAUGUGAUCUAGUACAGGGACGUAUUAUGGUUAACUAAGAAUCGCAGUGGUGUAAGUCAUUGUCAGUUUUUAUAAAAUAAUGUUCUGCGUUUAUUGUUAUAGAAAAUAUCUCGUUAUGAUAUGUAAUAAAAAGAUUAGAUAGGUACUGUACAAAAUUAUUCAUUUUAAUAUUUAGUAGGUAAAACAGUUUUCGAUUCUUCCCAUUAUAUUCAUAAAAAUAUGAAUUUAUAUUAAUAUUCGCAGUUUAGUCAUGAUAUUCAGAUUUAAUAGAGGCUUAUGUUUUUUCUGUUCAUAAAAACUAGAAUUUUCAUUAAAGUUGUGCCACUAUCAGUUUACAGGAUUGUUGAAAUAACAACCCAGAACAUUAAGAUGGCAGUCACAAGAUCGCACAACUCAAAUCAAGUUCUCUAAAGUGAUGGAACAUGCCUUAAAUCUCGGAGAACUUAUAGUACUCUGAAGAGCCUCAAGAGCGGAGCCUUAUUGAUAAUAUAAUCGCAGAAUUUACAUUAGGUAGCAGAGAAAGAGUAAGAGGGAGAGAGCGGCGGCGGUGAGAAACGCUCGUUAGGUUCCACGGAAAAAGGAAAACAAGCAAAAGGUUCUGGCUUCAAGGCUUUGACAAACAGGACAAUUUGAAAGUCUACCGAAAGGUUAAUCGAAUCGGACGCUCUUUAGUUUCAAUUGUAUCCAUGCAUCGAAGCAAGUCUGAUUCACUGAUCGCAAAUCGAUAGACGCGAUUCACGUUGAUGGCAGGCGAUGUUACAGAAUCGUGCUUUAAAUUCAUUUGCAUCUUCAGCCGGCUAGUAUUGGAGUAUAUUCUGAAUCUCGUUUCCGGUAUCUAUUGUGCACCAUCUGGCACGUAUCGCGGAGCCGCAAUCAUUUACAAAAUAGUCGCGACAUCCCGACAUGUUGCAAAUUGCUGAAUUUUAACUUCGUCCCCAUCCUUCCCUUCAUAUUCGUAACGAUUCUCAUUGUAGAAGACGUAUUGUAAUGAAAUAGGAUGGAAUUUAUUUUAAUGGGUUCGUGAUUUGGAUAAACAGACGAUCAAAUGAAUUGAGCGUAAGAAACACAAAUAUCAGGAUAUAAAAGGAAUAGAUUGAGCAAUAUUAUCGUUAAAUGUAAUUGAAACGAUAUUCCAUUACAUUCAGUUGAGAUAUUUGUCGAAACAUUCAUCAUAUUUGCUAUUCAUCAAACAUAUCGUUCUAGACUAACUAGAAGUUACUGAAAAUAACUUUCUCCCAGUAAAUAUGAAUAUUUUUAUAGCGGUACUUCCGUUUUAUGUUCCAUCUAUGAAAUUACAUCUCCUAAAAUGACGCCCAUAUAAAAUAAAUAUCGCCUCUAUAGAGUUUCCAAUAUCGUCGGUGAACUUUAGUAUUUUAUGCACAAAUUUACAUUCGAGUCUUCGUGUAUAAUCUUCAAUUUCAAUGCGUUUUAUCCUUUCUAAUCGAUCGACAAUCGAUCCUAAGUGUAUCCGCUUAUAAAUGAAUCGGUACAAACGUAAAGUUUCGACAGAGCUACAAAUAAAAGGAGGAAGUUAUUUCAAGCGUUUCGUUAAGCGCUCCUUUGCUAAAUACGUAAUCGGCUAGUAGAAAAUGCAUUUUUGCAUUGGCGUAUCGGAUAAAUUUUCGCUGUUCAACGAAAACAAUACGUGCGUGCGUUUCUAUAAAUAGUAAAUUCAUAUAGUGUAUGCUUUAAAUAUUAAUACAUUCCGCAUAGUAACCGCGGUGUAACUUGGCUUCACUUCAAGCCUUGUCGUAUAUUUUUAGUGUUUUGCAGGAGCAAAUGAUCCCUACGCGUAUCAAUGUCGAGCAUCAUUCACGUGUUAGAAAUGAGUUCUCGUGACGCAGAAGCAUAUACAUAUAAUGUAUAAUUAUUUGGUAAUGCGAAGCCAACCAGCGUCAGAGAUUUUGCUUGCUGUUUAAAUAGUUCGAAUUAUAGUCCUUGAUAUAGCGUUCUAUGAAGGAGGAAAUUGGAACAGAAAAUCGUUGUUCAACAAGCGUAAUACUUUCUCUUACUUCCUUUUGUACAUUUCAAAAAAAGAAUAUAAGGAAGAGGAAGGAAAUUUAUAUUCAUUUAUUCGAUACAUAAAACGAGUCAAUUUGUCGCUUGAACCAGUAAUAAUUUACACCGAAUAGUUUAUGUUCAUAGGGUUUAUUAACUUCUUAAAUAGACUAUAACAUAUGACAUUAUGUUAAAUAUAAUAACAUUGGUUUUAAAAAUACUUUGUCGCAUUUAUACGAAUUUUGUUUCGUAAGCAAAUACAAAUCUGGUUAUGAAGAUUUAAUCUUCUGGUUCAGAAAGACUUUCCCAUUGGGAAAUGACCCAGUUAUACAAUAGUUAAGUAUAAAAGUUAAAUAUCGGUUUAAUAUUGCGUCCAUCAUCAUAAUAGUUUGCUCUGUUUCAGUUGGAAAUACAGAGACUCGAAAAUUGCAAAAGUGAUUCGAGCACGAGAAAUCUUGGCAAUCGAAAUUAUAGCAGUUGAUUCCACAGGUUCAUUAAGAUGGCACAUAUUAUAAAAUACAAAUGGUAAUUAAAUUGGAUUAAAUUAUUUCUACAAAACGACAGUCGGUGAAUCGCUAGCUUGUUAAGAGAAUUUUACUUUAGGGUCAAUGAGUUUACAUAUUGUUCAAACAAGUUUCAUUACGUUAAACAUUGUUCGUGACUAUCGGUACUUUAUACGCUUCGCUAUUUCGUAUAUUUUCUGCAUUCAUUUGAGAAACAUUUUUAUUUUUUAUUGUUAGAGUUUCUCUCUGCUUCUCCGAGCAAUAGCAUGGCUCGUGUUGUUCACUGUUCUGUCGAUUUAUAUUCGAAAAACUAUCGUCGAAACGCGCAGGAAAUAGAAUAUAAAAUAUUUGUGAUGUCAAAAAGUAAAAUAUUUUUUUCUAUAAUUUAUAAAUCUAAAACAAAAUACACCAAGUUUCAAAUAUACCACACUGUUGCCGAAGUUGUUAAUAUUACAAUUAUAGUUGCUAUAGGAUUUAAAAGAAAAAUUCUUCAAAUUGUUCUCCGGCUUUUAUCGCAACCGUGCAACGUUCAUGAUGAAAUUUAUAUACGUUUUUAAAUUACAAAUCAAAUGCACAAUGUACUAAGUUUCAAAUAAUUAAUUACAUUAAAAGAGAAACUCAGUUUUCCGAUAAUGUCUCCCUAUCGUACUCGCCUUUCCAUCGCAAUUGUGCAAUAUUCCCCGUGUAGUUAAUAUUUUCAUAUUAGAAGCGAAAAAUGAUACGCGUGAAAAGUUAAACAAGUGAGAUCGUAACCAGGAUUAUUAUCAAAAUUGCUAUCAAUUCCGGGGCAAUGGGAAUCGAGUCUUAUUGCUUUGUGCCUUCGAUCGCAAUCACGCAAUAUUCAACGAGUAAAAUUUACAUUUUCGUAUCAGUGAUUAAAGGUACGGCACAUAAAAUCCUAAAUAAAUAAAACUGUAAUGUAGAUUACUGUUAAGAUUAUCCUUUGAAUUACUAUUACGAAUUACUGUUAUAAAUUUAACCCUUAUAAAGCUAAUGGUGCAAUACAUCUCAUAAAUGGAACUGCGUAUCGCAUUUAAAGGAUCACGACUGACCUAGAUUUUUUCAAACGUAUAAAUGCAACAUCCAGGGUAAGUUCAUUAGAAAUAGCACCGAUACAUAAACCAAAAUUCGAAUUUAAACAAGAAACUUACUCUCUUUUCUAGCUCGACUCCCAUCGCUUCUGUACCUUCGAUCGCAAUCGUGCAAUAUUCAUCUUCGAACUUGGAUAAUGUUAGUGUUCCUUUUCAGGUUGCGAGGAAUUCAGCAAUUGCUUGAGUCAAUACGGUCGUCGUCAGGAUGUUCAAAGGUGUGCUCCUUAAACAUUAAACGACCCAGAGGACUGUCUAAGCCCGUGACGAAAUCGUAAACUCGAGAUUCGCAUUCCCAGCACGUCGCUUUUCGAUAUUACUCGUAAAGAACCAAAGCACGCAUGGUCGCUCGUCGUAAAAAUAAAGAGUACGAAGAAAUUUUUGGUGCAAUACAUUCGGGUCGUCGUCGUCAUCGUCGUCGUCGUCGUCGUCGUCGUUGAUCAAUCGCAAUCGCGGAAUCGUUUUAGCGAAAUAACCGACGGAUAUAUCGAUGUAGAUACCUUAAAAAGAAGCUUUUCGAUGGCAAAUUACGAAUAAUACCUAGAGGCGUAUCCACGUUCGAUCGAUACGAUUCUAUCGCCGUUCGUGAAAAAUGUAACGAGUCCUAGAUCGUAAGCAGUGUGGAGACUUCUUUGUUCGUUUCUCUCCUCUCGAUUCAACGUAGAACAUCCAAUUUUCCCGAUUAAUCCCUCUCGAGAGUUUUUUUGCUUUGAAACAACGGCCUACCAUGACGAGCACUUCUUAAUUUGGAAGAAGAAGAAUCGCGUCUCUACGAGAUUUCUUUCAUUGGAUGUUCGCGGAGUAUUACGAACGAUUUUUGGUAUUUUCGGGAGAUUUUUGUGAGAAUAUUAGAUUGCUGGGAAAAUUCCUGGCGAAAGAUUAAGAAAGAUUUAAUUAGAAUGAAACGCGAGGAAAGAUUCCGCUAAAAUUAGAGUUUUUGAUAUCCGUCACUUCAGCAGUCUGUUCUUGUCCUUCUCGUCUUGUCGGGUAAUGAGUUUCUUCGAAUGAUUUUUACAGACUGCUGGAGUAUUUCGUUUCUUGUUUACGUCCUUCGAACGAAUCCUGUAGAGACUACAACAAAAUAAUAACGAGGCUGUAUACUAUAUUUAGCUCACGAGACGAGACGCUGUAUAUAGAUAAAGUUAAAUUGGUUGUCGAUCGAUACGUAGAUAUUUUUCUUUGCCAAAGAUUACGAUAUCGUAAGAGACCAUAGAGUCUUUUUAGCAGCCACGAAACCUUGGUAACCACUGUGUUUUACUAUCGACAGAGUUUCCCCGAUUUCUCUUAUCCUGGAGGAAAACCGAGGUGGUAUGACUCAAAGGAAAUGACCAAGAACGAUUGUUGGUGGAAGUUGGAAAAGGAACGCGUGGCAGCGAUAAGGGUGGAGAUACGUUGGACUGAUAGCAGGCAACGAGGUAAAAAAUUCUCCGUUUCACUCGAGACAUGCAACGGUAAGCCAUUCUCUGCAUUAAAUACUAAAAGUAGAUAUUUCUGGUUGAUUUUUAACGAUGAAAGCUCCGUCCGUGAUCGAUUCGCCGCGAUUCGAAAGCACGAUUCGAGUGUUCUCGUCGUACGCUAACUAAUUCAGAGUUUCGCGUGCAAGCAAAAUUUCCUCAAGACGAAAUCGAACAAAAUCUAGCCAGAGUCUCCACUUUAACGAUCGUGAUACCGUUCCGUUCGAUCCUUAGACACGCAGUGGAUUUGGCCUGCUUUGAUCUCGGAUGAUCAUCUGGUAGACACUUCGCUUCCUUUUUGCCUCAGUGACGAGAGUUAAAAAAAACACCAACAACGAGAAGAGAAGUUCCGUCGCAUUGAAAAUAAUCCCUCUGACAAACUCGCCAACAGCGGAAACGGCUUUUCUGCUUCUCUAUUCAGGAAAUUCUUUGUUCGUCGUACCUCGUUUUCUUUUUCGAUACAGGCCAAUUUUGUUCGGUUCGCGGAACGAAACACAGAGUGUUCAUUUAACGCGCUUAAAUUCGUAUUGUACAUUUGUAACCGACUUUGUAAGCGGAAUUAGAAAGUUACGAUAUACAUCACGCGCCAGAUAAGAUCCUCCGAGGUGUAGGAGCGUUCGAUUUAAAGUAGAACUAUCUGGCUCUGUUAGCUUUCCAUCCACGCGCGCGUUUCCCCCGGAAAUCGACUCCGCCGAAUAAAGUGCAUGCAUACGUAUCAGGCGAGAGAGAGAGAGAGAGAGAGAGAGAGAGAGAGAGAGGGAGCGAAUCCCAAAGCGACGACUUUGAUAGAUCACGUGCAAUUUUCGGAAGAAAUAUAUUUUCACUUCACCAGCGGAAAACAUCUUGCUCGUAAUUCGACGCGCUUUUCCGUUUCGAUUGCGCCACUAACAUUCCGAAUACGCCACCAAGAUCAGACUUUAAUUAAUUCGUCCAACUGUUUCGCGGUUAUGAGGUUUACUAGUCGCGACCUAAAUCGUUGGCACGCUAUUACCUAGACUGUAUUGGAUCUUCAGCAAUUGACUCUGCUUUAUGCUAUUCGAUUGUGGCAGUACUAUACUGAAAGCUUAUUGCUCGUGUAGAAAGCAAUUAAAUGGACACUGUUUCGGGUCGAUUAAGUGGACAGAGACUGGAACAUUCUGUCCGAUAUUGCAUCAAUUUAACACGAUGUUACGUUGAAAAUCCAACUUUCUAUGGCGAGAUUACCUACCGCGCGUAUUAUACUUGUUGUUCGAAAUUUAUGUGAUUCAAAGGGCUACGCGAAAAAGUAGGACAAUAAGUUUCCCAACCCUGGAACGUCUCCCUUGGCAUUAUACCGCGUUUUAUAAGCCACGUUUUCUCAUUCCGUUUUUAUAGGCAGACGCGGUAUUAUUCAGCAUACUCAUUAUACGUGUAUUUCAUCCAAGAUUAUUUUACUUAUAGUUAUCAUCUAUUAAUCUGUUAUAAAACUAUUGUAUAUAAAGAAGCUCGCGGAAGUACACUUGUCGAACACUUGUAAAAAAUCUUUCGCUAAUAUAUAUUAUCUCGUAAUUUUUGCUUACAUUCUCAUAUUGGUUCCAAAUUUCAUCAAUAUGAUCACGACGGUCGUGUCUCGUUACAGAGCUAAUAAAGUUUCCAAUUGUUUUAUGCAACACACACUCUACACGUGUAAAAGCUUCCUAUGGUGAGCGUUGAAAUAUUUUCGUGAUCCAUCGUAUAUCAAAAUCUUUAUGUUACUAUUUGUUACUAUUUGUCCCGAAGAAUGAAUCUGUUUGCAAAACUGUUGCCAGAAAUAAUAACCAAAAUUCCAACGUAGAUUUCCUGUUUUUUUUUCUUCCUUUUUUUUCCAGUUUUCAAACAGAGAUUGAAUCGGCAAAAACCCUACAGCUCUUUCAAAUCAAAUUGUAGCCGCGUUCGAUAGUUCGUGGGAUAAUUGGCUGCACGUACUUAAAUCGAUCGGACAACACGAAUCUCCGACAAAAAUGGUUCC